UGAACGCUGGCGGCGUGCCUAACACAUGCAAGUCGAGCGGAGAUAAGUGAAGCCUAGCGAUUCUUAUCUUAGCGGCGGAUGGGUGAGUAACACGUGGGUAACCUGCCCUGCACUGGGGAAUAACAGCUGGAAACGGCUGUUAAUGCCGCAUAUGCGCACGGAGCCGCAUGGCUUUGGGCGGAAAGAUUUAUCGGUGCAGGAUGGGCCCGCGCCGGAUUAACUAGUUGGCGGGGUAACGGCCCACCAAGGUGAUGAUCCGUAGCCGACCUGAGAGGGUGACCGGCCACAUUGGGACCGAGACACGGCCCAAACUCCUACGGGAGGCAGCAGUGGGGGAUAUUGCACAAUGGGGGAAACCCUGAAUGCAGCGACGCCGCGUGAAGGAUGAAGUAUUUCGGUAUGUAAACUUCUAUCAGCGGGGAAGAAGAUGACGGUACCCGACUAAGAAGCCCCGGCUAACUACGUGCCAGCAGCCGC
rnacentral:rRNA from 1 species